UCAAUGAUGGAUUUGUGGUCCCUGCCCAGC
rnacentral:piRNA from 1 species